UCUUCGGACCUCUUGCUAAUAGAUGAGCCUAGGCCGGAUUAGCUAGUUGGUAGGGUAAAGGCCUACCAAGGCGACGAUCCGUAGCUGGUCUGAGAGGAUGAUCAGCCACACUGGAACUGAGACACAGUCCAGACUCCUACGGGAGGCAGCAGUGGGGAAUAUUGGACAAUGGGGGCAACCCUGAUCCAGCCAUGCCGCGUGUGUGAAGAAGGCCUUCGGGUUGUAAAGCACUUUAAGCGAGGAGGAAGGUCUUUGAACUAAUAUUUCAAAGAAUUGACGUUACUCGCAGAAUAAGCACCGGCUAACUCUGUGCCAGCAGCCGCGGUAAUACAGAGGGUGCAAGCGUUAAUCGGAAUUACUGGGCGUAAAGCGCGCGUAGGCGGUAUGUUAAGUCGGAUGUGAAAUCCCUGGGCUCAGCCUAGGCAUUGCAUCCGAUACUGGCACACUAGAGUGUGGGAGAGGAAGGUAGAAUUCCAGGUGUAGCGGUGAAAUGCGUAGAGAUCUGGAGGAAUACCGAUGGCGAAGGCAGCCUUCUGGCCUAACACUGACGCUGAGGUGCGAAAGCAUGGGGAGCAAACAGGAUUAGAUACCCUGGUAGUCCAUGCCGUAAACGAUGUCAACUAGCCGUUGGGCUCCUUGAGGGCUUAGUGGCGCAGCUAACGCGAUAAGUUGACCGCCUGGGGAGUACGGUCGCAAGACUAAAACUCAAAUGAAUUGACGGGGGCCCGCACAAGCGGUGGAGCAUGUGGUUUAAUUCGAUGCAACGCGAAGAACCUUACCUGGCCUUGACAUGUCUGGAAUCCUGCAGAGAUGCGGGAGUGCCUUCGGGAAUCAGAACACAGGUGCUGCAUGGCUGUCGUCAGCUCGUGUCGUGAGAUGUUGGGUUAAGUCCCGCAACGAGCGCAACCCUUUUCUUUACUUGCCAGCACUUCGGGUGGGAACUUUAAAGAUACUGCCGGUGACAAACCGGAGGAAGGCGGGGACGACGUCAAGUCAUCAUGGCCCUUACGGCCAGGGCUACACACGUGCUACAAUGGUCGGUACAAAGGGUUGCUACCCCGCGAGGGCAUGCUAAUCUCAAAAAGCCGAUCGUAGUCCGGAUUGGAGUCUGCAACUCGACUCCAUGAAGUCGGAAUCGCUAGUAAUCGCGGAUCAGAAUGCCGCGGUGAAUACGUUCCCGGGCCUUGUACACACCGCCCGUCACACCAUGGGAGUUUGUUGCACCAGAAGUAGUUAGCCUAACCGCAAGGAGGGCGAUUACCACGGUGUGGCCAAUGACUG
rnacentral:rRNA from 1 species